rnacentral:lncRNA from 1 species
UGAAAUAUUAAACUAAAUAAGGUGGGGUCAGGACAUCAUCAUCCCUAAAAAAGAUUUUAAAAAUAAUGAAAAUUGGUAUGUGAAUUAAUUAAAAUAAAACAAAAGUCAAAUUAAAUGCCCACCAACCAAACUAGGUCAAAAUUAAAUCCAAAAUAAAUUGAAAAUAUGAAAUAAAAUUCCAAGAAAAAGUCAGGUUGACCAUGAGACAGUGGUCAACCUUCAUCCCAAAAAUCAAAUGCUAAUAAUAAUUUUAAGUUAUAAAAAUAAAAUCAAUAAAAAAAAGUGUGUUAAAA